CCUCCCCCUAGAGGCAUUGCGGGUGUGGCUGCUGUAUCACAUGUAUGUCAGUAGGUGGCAGAGAGGAGAGAGGCUAUGUCUAUACUCAGUGUUCUGACCUGUGAACAUCUGAAUGAUGAGUAGCCCAACAUU